AGAGAGAGACAGAGCAUGAACGGGGGAGGGGCAGAGAGAGAGGGAGACACAGACUCGGAAACAGGCUCCAGGCUCCGAGCCAUCAGCCCAGAGCCUGACGCGGGGCUCGAACUCACGGACCACGAGAUCGUGACCUGGCUGAAGUCGGACGCUUAACCGACUGCGCCACCCAGGCGCCCCCAAAUCAAGCAAUGUUUAAAUCAACCUGAUGAACAUAAUACAACCCAAAACCCAUCUACAACUGGACAUUAAAUCACAUUACAAAUGGAAUUAAUAAAGACCAAGUAAGCUUACUUGCCAAUCUCCUGUCUUCUACCCUACUACAAAAGUCAGCAACCACUGUUGAUUUGCGCAUUUAGGAAAAUCAGCAAGGGUCUAUCAACCACCUUUCUAGUCCAUAGGACAAUUGUAAAGAGGAUACAAAACAUUGAUGUGUUAGUCUGGGAAAAUAGAAAUAGUCAAGGCUGGUUUUAACACAAUUGGGUUAGACUAGGAUUAAAAGAGAGCCAGGAUUGCAAAGCAAGCUGGUGUGUGGAUCUUCCCACGGUGCCAGGAGACAUGCAUCUGCCUUUCUUUCCUUUUUUUAAAAUUAAGUUUAUUUAUUUAUUUUGAGAGGUGGGGCAGAGAGAGAGGCGGGGAGAGUGAAUCUGAAGCAGGCCCUGCACUGUCAUCGCAGAGGCCAACACAGGGCUCAAUCUCAUGAACCAUGAAAUCAUGACCUUAGCCAAAAGCAAGAGUCAGAUGCUUAACCGACUGAGCCACCCAGGUGCCCCACAUCUGCCUUUGUGUAAGCGUUGGUGAAGUGCACUUUGGGUUCACUCCAAAUGGAUGGACUCCAGGCUGGGAAAAGCCCACAGUCCUCAUGUUCAUCACUCAGAAAUAGAUAUUUCCCCAAAAGAAUGACCAUGGUAUAAUACUGAAGAAACAAAACAAGGCAAACAAGAAACUUACAGUCAUCAAAUCACUAGAUUAAACAAUGACUUUAGCUAAUGUAUUAUUCAUUUGACAGACAUUUAUCACUUGGCCUACUUUUCCAUGGUAAUAUAUGGAGUGCUGGAGGACAAUUGGAAAUGAUCUAAGCAUCUUAUCUCUGGAUAUUUGGUUUCAUUAGGUCUGGAGUGGGGUCUAGAAAUAGAUCCUAUUCGUUUGUUUGCUUGCUUGCUUGUUUUAAACUCCUGAGAAGAUUCUAAGGAUCCACAAGUUGGGAACCCACUGAUCUGACAGAGGUUUUCAGUCUCUGUGUUGCCUGAUUGGCCCCAUGCUGAAAUGCGCCUGUAAAAAUAAGUAAGAAACUUCAGAUGUAUACAAGACUUAAAAGGCAAGACUACCACUUUUAACAAUGAGGGAGAGAUCAUCUUUCCAGUCCUUUUUCGACCAGCUAUUGAUGAAGAGAUGCCAUAACACCUGGAGGAAAUUAGGAUUCUCCCUAAUCCUUUCAACACAAACAUGUGACAACAAGAUGUUCUGGCUGUUUAAAAAAAAUCUAAGGGGAACCUGGCUGGCUCAGUUGGAAGAGCAUGCGACUCUCAAUCUAGGGGUUGUGAGUUCGAACCCCACG